CCUGGAAUUUGUUUAGAACAAACAAAAGGACUUCCAAUUACUAAAGAUACACUAAGACAACAAUAGUAACUUAUGGCAUUUUAUGGUCAUAUUCUUAUCUUGUCAAAAACUGGGAGUAAAUUAGUCACCUGGUAAGCCUUGUACUUGAUCAAUUCUUUUAAUCUAUCAACGAUGUAGAGUAAUCCAUCAGAAUCAAAGUAACAAAGGUCACCAGUCUUUAGCCAUCCCUCAGGAUGCAAGGUUUCAGCAGUUGCCCUUUCAUCUCCAACAUAACCUGCAUCAAACACCAUUUCAUAUGUUCAUCACACAAUAAACAACAUCAUGAUUAAUGCCUUGUAGCAAAACAUCCUAUUCUCAAACAGAGCUCUCUAAUGAAGAGAGGAAUGGGGACAAAUUCAGUAUUAUACAAUUAAUAAUUUAUAAUACUUCACUUGCUAGAUUUCAUCCUCAUACUGAAGUAUAGAAGAAAACACAUAUAGAAGAGAAUAUUGCAAACCUUUCAUGAUUCCUGGACCUCGUAUCCAAAGCUCUCCUUUGUGGCCAGGAGGUAAAGCUUCUCCAGAUGAAGGAUCGACUAUUUUGGCUUCCAUAUUUUCCGAUAGGCGACCGACGGAACCUGCUGUACUGCAUUCUUCAGGCCCCACAGUUUUUGCUGCUCCUCCUGAACUCUCUGUCAAUCCAUAUCCCUAUUCAACAAAACCACGCAUCAUUCUUUGUUAUCAUUUUACUUCUUUUUAACUUCAAAUAGAUUUUAAGUCCUUCCUUAACUAUCUUAUAACCAUCCUAGGAUAUUGGAUUGAUUAGAAUUGUGUUAAAUAAUAUAAUAUUAAAUUUGUUUUUAACAAUGAACUUCAUCCUUUGGGUUGGUGACUUAAAGAAAGUAUUAAAACACAUGGUCGAUCAUGAGUUCAAGCACCAUUGAAUCAAGUUUUUAGGCCAAUCAGUCAUUUAAGAAAUUGCAUACUUGAACUUUGAACUUUGGUGUGAAGUUACAAAUUUUGGUUAAAAUUUUUGCCUAUCUGAACUUAAUUGUGAGAAUUUCACAAGCUUUAGAAGUAUGCUCAUAGCAACAAAACUCAUGGAAUCAGAACACUUAAGUGGAAAAGUUUGAAUUGAUAAUUUGGUAUGAACUUACAAAAUAGAGAACUGAUUACAAACUAGGAAUUGACAGAAUGUUAUGUUCAUCGCAUUUAUAUGAUAUGAGAAAGCAAAGAACAUUGUAACGAGUAACUAAGAAGGGAAAGUGUCUGUUACUAACCUGAAUAAUUUCUACGUUGGGGAACUUUACAUGGAAUUUAUCGAUGACUUCUUUACCAAGAGGAGCACCGCCGCAUGCCAAAAUUUGAAGAGAACUGAGAUCAUACUUCGCUGCCAGCUCCGAUUUGGCCAUGGCCACAAUCAGUGGCGGAGAGACCGGAAUGUAUGUAAUCCUAUACUUCUCCACUGCUCUUAACAUCUUCUCGAAAUCGAACUUACGCAUCAAAACCAACGUAUGGUUCUCUGAAAUCGAUCGAAAUAACAUAAAGAACCCGAAAACAUGAAACAGAGGUAACAGAGAAAGAGCAACGGGAUGUGUCUCAAUCUCUCCAUCGACGGGCGUUUUAUCUAAUACUCGAACCCCAUUGAUCGCCGAUAUGAGGUUCCGGUGAGAGAUUAAAACGCCUUUCACUCGCCCGGUAGUCCCUGAAGAGAAUAGAAUCGCCGCAGAGUCGUUUUGAUUGAUUUUUAGAUCGAAAAUUCCAUCGUUUACUCCAUCCGAUGGUUUACUUUCAUUCAUCAAAGAAAGAAACUCCGGUGAAUCUAUCAAUACAGUGCCAAGUGGAAGCCUCGGGAUCUUAGACGCCGUUGAGGAAGUAGCGAAGGCAAUGGCUGGUUUACAGAGACUAACCUGGUGAACAAUCUCCGACUCGGAACUGAUAGGAUUAGCCGGAGAGACAACAACACCGAGAGAUAAUAAAACGAAAUACAACACAGGGAUUUGCAGAGAAGUGGGUGAAAGAAUAAACGCCACUUGACCAUUAGAGAAGGAAUAAAGAGCUUUAAGGUUAGAGGUGAGGUUUCGAAUUUGAUGGAGGAAAAGAGCGUAAGAGACACUGAGGCCAGAGUCGGAGUCGAUGAGAACAGCACUGUUGGGCGGAGGAGAAGAUGAUCGGAGAACAGAAAGGACAUGCUCAGCAAUGGUAAGUGGCUGAGAUAACGGGGGAAGCGAUAACGGUGGUCGGAGACUGUUGUAAAUCUUGGUUUGAGAACAGAAACCGCUCCGAGGAUCAACAGAAUGGGUAGCCAUUUAAGCGAAAUGUUUGAUAAUGAGUUACAAUAUGUAUCAUUUAAAGAAAAAGUAUAAACCAUGCACAUUAAUCCUUCCAGUUAUUUGAUGAAGAGUUUAUUUAAGAAAAAAUGUUCGAUUCCAAAGUGAAAGUGAAAAGUGGAAAAGAUUAAAAGUUAUUUUAUAAUAUUUCAAAGUAUUCUAUAAGAUAUAAUGUAUUAAAAAAUAAUUUUACAAUCAACCUUAAAUUCUUGAAUCAUACCAAAACUUUGUUUUUAAGCAAGAUGCUACUUUCAUUUUAAAAAUAUAACUUUUUUUAUUAGGAAGAAUUGUAUUCGUUAAAGAAAACGUGAAACUUCUAUUGGAGGGAAGAUUUUAAUAUAUGCACAUGAGAUAAAUUUUUCUAAAUCAAAUUAAAAAUUAUUUUUUAAAAUAUAACCCACAUAUUAUUUGUUAAAGGGAUAUUUUUAAAAAUAGCAAAAUAAAUUAAAAUAUUUAGAAGCUAUAGAAAAAUUUUGGAUUCUAGCAUUUAUAGUCUUCUAUCAUUGUAGCAUGUCAUUGACUAUAGGGAUAAAAUUUACUAUAAUUUCUAAAUAUUUUGUAAAGUCUACUAUUUUUAAAAAUUCUCUUUUAUUAAAACACUUACUUUAUAAUUUAUUCUAGGAAGGAAAAAAGAAAAAGAAAAACUUAGUCCACUUAUCUAUACCCACAAGAAUAAAUUCUUUGUCAGGAAUAAAAAGUAAACAAACUUUUCAUAGAAAAAUGUGAUUAUCUAUUAUGCUCUAGUGAUACAUCACAUGGCAAAUUUUGGAAAAAUGGUUGAGUUUGAAAAAAAAAACAAAUACAAAUACAAAGUUUUAUAGAAAAAUGUAUGUAGAAGUGAUAUUUAUUUAAUUUCAAGAGUUUAGGAGUCUGGUUAAAUUAUUGAAAUUUUCAAACUCUUUAAAUUCUAAACUUUAUUAUAAUUUAUUGUAAAAUCAUAAUUUUGUUAUUGAUAAAACUAUUGAAAGUUUUAAAACUUUUAAAAUUUUAAAUAAAAUAAAUUUAAAGUUUUUAUUAUUUUUAAUUUUUUUUUUCAGACAAAAAAAAGAAGAAGCUACUUUCAUAUUUCUACCUUUACAGGUUGUAUUACCUUUAAUUUGAAUAAUUAGAUUCCAGUAAAAGUUAUGUAAUUCAAACACAAUAAAUGUGUAUUAACCACACUUUACCAAAUUAUUAAUAAAACAAUUCUAAUGAAAAAAAAUAUGAGCAAAUAAUGUAUUUUUUCUUGUAAUGUCUAAGAUUCCUCAUUGUUACAUUCUUAAAGAAAAAAAAAAUGAUUUUCAUGAUUUCAUGGUUCAAACAUAUCUCACAAAAGAAAUACAUACAAAUAUAUUUAGAUCACAGAUUUACAUUCUAACAAAAAAAAAAAAAAAAAAAAAAAAAAAAUAUAUAUAUAUAUAUAUAUAUAUAUAUAUAUAUAUAUAUAUAUAUAUAAUUACAUAAUUUAAACAUCCAUGAAAGAAUACAAGGAGACAUAUUUAUAUAUAGAAGUAAAUAAAUUCAACAAAAAUGAAAAAUUAAAAGAGAAGCUAAGAAUGAUCAUUUGGUUUUUUUCUUUACAUCUUAGUUUUUGUUAUGACUUAUCACUUUGAAUGGAAGAAAAAAAUAAAAUAUUUAUACUACAAACUUUUAAAGAGUAGGAAAUUGAAAGGUUGGGAGACAGAGAAGAGUUAAUAUUGUUUCCUAUGUUACUUAAGGAAAUAAAAAAAAAAAAAAGUAAUUAAAAAGUUGUUACCUUUCAGCGAGGUUCAAGGACAACCACGUCGUCGAAAGUGGAAAACAAAUUUUUUAUAAAAUUAAUACGAUUUUUCGCAACGUGCGUUAGUCAGCAGUGCGUCGCGUAACGUCGAAUCGUUUCGUUGAAGGUUGAUAAUUUCAAAUGAUCAUUUCUCUUUCCUCGACGUCUUGCAGAAGUGCGUCGCCGAAAGGUUAUCAUACUAAAUUAAGGUUUGAUGUACCACGACAUUGAAGCGACGUGCGUUGCAGAAAAUCUUGACCAAAACGAAUCGUUCGUGGUAAAGCAAAACAAUAUCUUAAUUAGUACACUUGCGCAACGUUUGUUUUCCAUACGUCGCGGAAAGUGGUAUUUAGCAACGUACUAACACGAACAUUGCGAAAAGUUCAGCAACGCUGACGUUACUUUCAGCGACGUCGUUUCUGGCAUCACGAAAGCUUCAUUUUCUUGUAGUGUAUAUGCAUAGCUAAGUUAGGGAUGUAAGAAUUAACUGCAUCUUUACAUGUUUACCCUAUAUUUAUAUGCACUUUCGAUCUUCCUCAAGUGAAUUUUCAUCUUCACAUGCUAAAUAUUGAACUUUUGGAGACAAAAUUUAGAGAAAAAGAAUAACAAACUAAUAGAAGAAAAUACUCAAUUAUAUUGGUAGAAAGAAAUCAAAGAAGCCCUUUAUAUAUAUAGUAAUGAAAAUUGAAAAAAUGUUACAAAAACUUUUGAACUUUCAAGUCUUUAAAUUUGGAUUGUUAAUUAAAAUUUUAGAUGUAAGAUAUUUAAUUUUUAAUUAAUUUCUAAAAUGUAAAUGAAAAACAUUAGUCUUCCAUAAUUAAUUAUAUUAAAAAGAUAUAAUUAAAAAUGAAUUUACCAAAAAACCAAGAAGUGAAUUAAAACACAAAACUCAAUAGUAUAACUAGAACAAAAAAGUUUCUCCAUUCAGACUUUUAUAUACUAUAUUUAUACCUAUAUUAUAUACAUAAGAUACACAAAUAAAAUUUAUAAACAUUAACUUAGAUAAUAAUUAAUUUCCUUAAACUAUUUUUGAUCUUGAUUUACGAAUUUAAUAACAAAUACAACAAUGAAUUUAAUUAUAACUCUUGAACAUAUGAACACAUAAGAGCUCCUUUUAUACCGGUUGGAGGCUUCUUGUAAAAAAAAAAAAAAAAAAAAAAAAAAAAAAAAAAAAAAAAAAAAAAAGGAGAAAUUGAGUUAUACUCAAAGUUGAAAAUGUCAAUGAGGUUUUAAUUUUACAAAAAAUUCCAUAGAGAUACGAAGGAUAUUUCUAAAAAAUUUAUAAAAACAAACAAAAUAAAGGAUUAAAAUUAAGAAUGUACAAUUCCAAUUCCAAUUCCAUUUCCCUUUAUUAUAGCUUGCUUGAACCUUGGGAGAGAGCAUGUUUAACAAGUUCCCUCCUAAGAAUCUUUCCUGCAGGCGAUUUAGGGAUAGCAUUCACAAAAGAAACUCUUCGGAUUUUCUUGUAUGGUGCAACCUACAACCAUAUUAGAAUAGUUCGGGAUAAGUUUGAAAUGACUUUCUAAGUGAAAGUUAAAGUUGAUUUCGAGUUGAAAGGUACCUUUUUUGCAAUGAAAUCCAUGACUUGAGCUUCGUUGAUAUUGCUUCCAAGUUGUCUUACCACGUAAGCUAAUGGAAUUUGUCCCGCGUCUUCAUCAGGAUAGCUGCUCAAGAGGAGUGAAAAUAAUAUCAGAAAAUUUGAGUAAAACUUAUGUUUCGAAGUUGUUAUAAAGUAGUUAAAAUCACAAUCAAACAAGUUUGUUUAUUAAUUCAAAAUCAAAUAUAGAAGAGAGCAAAGAAUACACACGGUAUCACAGCAGCAUCAAGGAUUUCGGGGUGGGAUUGAAGCAAAUGUUCCAAUUCGGCAGGUGGGACCUGGAAUUUGUUUAAAACAAACAAAAGGACUUCCGAUUACUAAAGAUACACUAAGGCAACAAUAAUAACUUAUGGCAUUUUAUGGUCAUAUUCUUAUCUUGUCAAGAACUGGGAGUGAAUAAAUCACCUGAUAAGCCUUGUACUUGAUCAAUUCUUUUAAUCUAUCAACGAUGUAGAGUAAUCCAUCAGAAUCAAAGUAACAAAGGUCACCAGUCUUUAGCCAUCCCUCAGGAUGCAAGGUUUCAGCAGUUGCCCUUUCAUCUCCAACAUAACCUGCAUCAAACACCAUUUCAUAUGUUCAUCACACAAUAAACAACAUCAUGAUUAAUGCCUUGUAGCAAAACAUCCUAUUCUCAAACAGAGCUCUCUAAUGAAGAGAGGAAUGGGGACAAAUUCAGUAUUAUACAAUUAAUAAUUUAUAAUACUU
rnacentral:lncRNA from 1 species